rnacentral:rRNA from 1 species
CCUGGCGGCACUAGCGCGGUGGUCCCACCUGACCCCAUGCCGAACUCAGAAGUGAAAGCCGUAGCGCCGAUGGUAGUGUGGGGUCUCCCCAUGUGAGAGUAGGGAACUGCCAGGC